AAAAAGUCUUCUUGAAAAAUAUAACAGUAAUCCAAAAAAUCCAAUAUGAAAGUAUUAAUUAUUGCUUGUGUGACAAUUUUGACCAUUAUUUCCAUGGCUCAAAGCGCUACUAAUAACGUUCAACAAAAUGCCGAUGUUCCAACACCAGAGUAAUAUAAAGUAAUCAACUUGAACGACAGCUGAUGUAUUGUGCAAAAUGAAUUGAUUAUUAAUAAAGCUGAUAAAAGUAAAUUCAA